rnacentral:rRNA from 1 species
CAAAUCAGGUAGACUACCCGCUGACU